GCAUCUCCCGGGCCGGCUACCUCCUCCUGCUGUCCGCCGCCACUCCGCCGAGGGCUUCACACCGCGGGGCCGGAGAGAUAAUCCUAGCCAUGGAAAUGAGCACAGCUUUUGCUCCAUGCCUCCAUGAAGGACUCUCACAAAUGAUUCUCCUCCAGCACUGAAAACAGAGGAGCUCUGCAGGACACCACUGACCUGGAAAACCCUCAGCUGCUGCCACAGCAGGAGAUGUCAAGAGACAGAAAGCCUGCCUGGAUGAAUGUGGGGUUCCUGCCUACCCUGACGCUGUGUGUCUUCCUGGCACCCUGUGUCUAAAAUUCAUGUAAUUCACCAGUGGCAUUUUGGGAUUUCCUACAUGUGCUAAAUUGUAAUGAAAGACAUCCGCUGAUGGCAAAGUCUCUGGCCCCAGAGGAUUACAUGGGGUAGGGCUGCGUGAGACAGCCCAAAUCCACUUGAGACUGAAAAGGUGUGAGCAGUAAAUAAAAGGAAAUCCUGGAUCACUAUGUAGUGUUCAGCUCCCACACUUUGACCUCCUUUGGUCCCUUCUAUAUUUUGUUAAGAUCAUAUUUCUUUAUGUGCUGCCUGGUUUAAAAGACAUCAUAAAUCUGUGCCAUGCAGCAAGAAUAACAGCGAAGGCACCGUGUAAUACAAGGCGCUCUAAUUCCAUCCCAGGCACUCGGAGGGAGCCGUAAAUCAGUUUGGAGAGGCCUUAGACGGGAGAAGUGGAGGGAAGGCUGGGAAGGUGGCCACAGCCUGGCCCCUGCCACUGGAGCCCAUCUGCCCUCCAGCUGAGGUGAGCACACCUGCCUCAAAAAUAAAGGGUUCUGAUGUCUCCAGACUUGAACAGUGAUCAAACUACUUUAAAUACACUUUGAGGAGAAGCACACCUACCAUCUUUGGUGGGAAUGCUCUGUGGGGUGUGCCAUGCACUGCAGGUGGGAGCAAGGUCUGGCCCUUGCUCAUGUCAUGAGUGUCCAGGUUUGCCUCCACGUGGCAUCACCUGGGGAAACCAAACACCACACCUGGCUGGGCUCACCUGUGGCCAAGCCAUUCCUGUGUCCCAGCUGCCGAUGUGGCUCUGGGUCAGGGAAGGCUCCACCAAUAUCGUAGGCCUUUCACAGCUGUAUGUGAGUGAUGGCUGGUUUGGGGUGUGUAUCCACACACUCACCCAAACCAAUGGAGAUGCAGCUCCUCCACUGGAAAUUUGGGAGGAGCUGGAGCUAGGGAUAUGCUAUCAUAUUCUAGACAGUAACAUCUCUUUUUCUUUGCUCUAGUGGGAAAAAACUUUCAAGUGUGGAAGUUUUCUGAGGAAGACUUUCCUAAUAAUAAUUCUGCUCAAGUUUUGAAAAAAAAUUGUGAAUAAAUUUUUCUUUUUUCUGCCAGCUAGUAUAACAUGAUGGAUGUAAAUUUUUAUAAGGUUUCUUUGUGCUGCAGUUAAAACAUAGUAAAUUUUGGAAAAGAUGAAUUGCAAAGGGGAAUGAAAUGAAAACAUAUUUGUCCAUUUGAACUUCCAAACUCAGACUCUUAAGUUUUCCUAAGAUGAAGGAAUAAAAGAUAAAUCAUUGAA